UGUAUUGACAGCUGGUGUUCCUGAAUGGACCAGAAUAACCUAACUGACCAUGGACUGCAAAUACUUCUCUGGCCAGCAGUACACACGUCUUUAUGAAUACAAGGGAAAGGAGAAAGGUUGUACAUGUCUUGCCAGAAGAUGGGUAAAGAACUGUGUCUAUGUCAGUCAACUAAUCCCCUCCCCAUGGAAAGAUUUGGUGAGAGAUCAAACAGUGCUGUGAGCAUGAAUGGAACUGGAUUUUGGAGAAGCUGGAGUUUUAUGAUAAGUAACGCAUAUGUCUUGUGUAAAAGAAAUGGCAUGUGUUCGUUCUUAAUUAACAAAAAAAAGGUAAGUUUUCCCUCACAUUCUUCAGGAGAGAUCCCCAAUGCUGUGGCUUCUUUCUGGUCUUGCAGGUAUGUGACUGAUGGGAAUUUUGAGGUUUACAGGUGCUAAAAGAGGUUGUCUUUAAUUUGCUGAGUGUAGUAAAGCUGGGAAA